rnacentral:rRNA from 1 species
AGUGAACGCUGGCGGUAGGCCUAACACAUGCAAGUCGAACGGCAGCACAGUAAGAGCUUGCUCUUACGGGUGGCGAGUGGCGGACGGGUGAGGAAUACAUCGGAAUCUACUUUUUCGUGGGGGAUAACGUAGGGAAACUUACGCUAAUACCGCAUACGACCUACGGGUGAAAGCAGGGGAUCUUCGGACCUUGCGCGAUUGAAUGAGCCGAUGUCGGAUUAGCUAGUUGGCGGGGUAAAGGCCCACCAAGGCGACGAUCCGUAGCUGGUCUGAGAGGAUGAUCAGCCACACUGGAAGGGAGACACGGUCCAGACGCCUACGGGAGGCAGCAGUGGGGAAUAUUGGACAAUGGGCGCAAGCCUGAUGCAGCCAGACCGCGUGGGUGAAGAAGGCAUUCGGGUUGUAAAGCCCUUUUGUUGGGAAAGAAAAGCAGCAGGUGAAUACAACGCUGUUAUGACGGUACCAAAAGAAUAAGCACCGGCUAACUUCGUG